AGGAUGCUACUGAAAUCAUACCUAUAGAUAUUGGACGUACUCACAGAAUAAGCACCGGCUAACUCCGUGCCAGCAGCCGCGGUAAUACAGAGGGUGCGAGCGUUAAUCGGAUUUACUGGGCGUAAAGCGUGCGUAGGCGGCUUAUUAAGUCGGAUGUGAAAUCCCCGAGCUUAACUUGGGAAUUGCAUUCGAUACUGGUGAGCUAGAGUAUGGGAGAGGAUGGUAGAAUUCCAGGUGUAGCGGUGAAAUGCGUAGAGAUCUGGAGGAAUACCGAUGGCGAAGGCAGCCAUCUGGCCUAAUACUGACGCUGAGGUACGAAAGCAUGGGGAGCAAACAGGAUUAGAUACCCUGGUAGUCCAUGCCGUAAACGAUGUCUACUAGCCGUUGGGGCCUUUGAGGCUAUAGUGGCGCAGCUAACGCGAUAAGUAGACCGCCUGGGGAGUACGGUCGCAAGACUAAAACUCAAAUGAAUUGACGGGGGCCCGCACAAGCGGUGGAGCAUGUGGUUUAAUUCGAUGCAACGCGAAGAAGCUUAUCUGGCCUUGACAUACUAGA
rnacentral:rRNA from 1 species